ensembl:lncRNA
AAAGAAUGUCACAAACUUCAGACAAACAAGUUAGUUCCAGUUAUCACUUGCGCUAUAGCUGCUCCUCACUUUCCCGUGAAGUCGGUACAACAAAAAACAGUAGCUUGUUACAGAGAGACGCCAUCCACAAAUGUUAAAUAAAUCUCACCUCACAGAGAUAUUGUCCAUCAUGUGCUUUUGUUUUUAGGCUUAGAUUAUGUGGAUCCUCUGCCAUACAAGUCCCUGUGAAUGAUCUGUUACUAUGGAAACGAUAAUGCAUUAGAAUAAACCUGUUGUGACAUCAUUUAUCACAUUUUUAUUUCAUUUUGUAUCAUCAUACCCACUCCUAACAGAGAAUAGGGUUGUUAAAGUAUGGGAGGUGAUUCGUACUUAACCCUUGUGCUUGCAAUUUACAGGUAGCUACGUUUCCCAGAGGAGGUUUUUGCUAGGUAGCUAAUCGGACACAGCCAGACAAGCACUACUUAUAACAAAGGAGCAAAGAUUCCAUUGCUGCAUUACCGAUUUCUCACCUCACAUUUUUCAGAGAUUGCUGUGUAGUAAAAGAGCUGAAAACGUCACAGUUAUGAGAUGCCUCCUCCACCACUGGUCUGUUAUUGCAAUGAAUUCUGGGUCUUUUAGUUCAUUGUAGGUAGUAAGACGGUAACCAGUGCACCUUUUUAAAAUUUGGGUAGUAUCAUGGACACUCUUAUUUUACUCACUCUUGGUUACUUGGGCAGUAAAAGAUGACGACACCGAGUGCAUGGGCAUGAAGUCACAAAUUCAAACGCACAUUGAGAAACACCAGAGGAUUUAAAAUUGCCUUAAGACUAACACUGAAUGGCACAAAUAAAGUAUAAAAGCUCAGUAUGUCUGCCUCGUCUUAACCGUCUGUAGGCAUCUCCGUUAUUUGAAGUUGCAUCAGUUUGUGAGUGAUAGUAAAGUCUAUAUUUACAUUGCACUGAUUUGGAAACUAGCAGAGUUUACAGAGUAGAACCCGGUUGUGCCUGGACUGAACUAUACUGGUAAAAGGUCAUCAGAAUAGGAUUUGUACCAGAGUGUUGCUUUUACAUUUUAAACAUGUAUGUAAAUAUGUUUAUUUUUCAGAAAGAGAGACUUGACAUGAUUUUAUAUGAUCAGUGUUCUAUGAAUUAUGAAUGUUUGAAAUAAAUGUUUGAGGGUUUUACUGCAAGUUGCUUUUUUUAAUAUAGGUAUAUAUCAUUUCAUGUACUGUUCAGUGUUGCACUUGAAACCUUGGCAACGUCACUCAGAUAACAUUCCCACUAGUGAUUGUUAAUAACAGUUGGAUUGUGGAUUGCAAAUAAACAAUGUGAAUACCAACAUUCAAUUUUAUUUUAUUUAUGUAGCGUUUUUAACUAUAUAUAGUGUUAGAAAGCAGCUUUACAGAAAUCUGGAUGUAUAUUCGAAACCUAAUGAGCAAACCAGAGGCGACAGUGCUGAGGAAAACUCCCUGAAACAGCAUGUAGAAGAAACCUUGAAAGAGACCAGAACACAUUCUCUUCUAGGUGAAGCAGGAUAGUGAGAUCAUAAAUAAUUACCUUGAACAGCUGUAGAAGAGUACACACAGAUAGAUUAUAUUAAAAAAAAAAAAAACCUUAACCUCUAA